UACAGAGGUGGCAAGCGUUGUUCGGAAUUACUGGGCGUAAAGGGCGCGUAGGCGGCCUUCUAAGUCAGACGUGAAAUCCCCCGGCUUAACCUGGGAACUGCGUCUGAUACUGGGAGGCUUGAAUGCGGGAGAGGGAUGUAGAAUUCCAGGUGUAGCGGUGAAAUGCGUAGAUAUCUGGAGGAAUACCGGUGGCGAAGGCGGCAUCCUGGACCGACAUUGACGCUGAGGCGCGAAAGCUAGGGUAGCAAACGGG
rnacentral:rRNA from 1 species